CGCAUCUGUGCAUGCAGCAUAUCAAUAAGCGGAGGAAAAGCAUAACAUGUAUACCUACGCUUAGGAUGUUGACGCGCGUGUGUGCGUGAGUCUAUACAUGACUCUGCGUAUAUCAAUAAGCGGAGGAAAAGAAACUAACAAGGAUUCCCUUAGUAACGGCGAGUGAAGCGGGAAGAGCUCAAAUUUGAAAUCUUCAAGGUUUUACCUUGACGAAUUGUAGUUUAAAGAAGUGUUUUCUGUUGAAGUUUUGGUAAAAGUUCUUUGGAAUAGGACAUCAUAGAGGGUGAGAAUCCCGUAUUUGACCAUUAUUUUCAGCUGUGUGAUACACUUUCAAAGAGUCGGAUUGUUUGGGAAUGCAGUCCAAAAUGGGUGGUAAAUUUCAUCUAAAGCUAAAUAUUGGCGAGAGACCGAUAGCGAACAAGUACCGUGAGGGAAAGAUGAAAAGAACUUUGAAAAGAGAGUUAAACAGUACGUGAAAUUGUCAAAAGGGAAGCGUUUGACACCAGUGUUGUUUUCUCGAAAAUCAAUUAAAAAGAGUUUAGAUUUUGUUGUGUAUUGACCUUAACAGCUUGCAUUUCAAUUUUCUUGCUUUUUUUAAUGCACUUUUCGUUUAACAAGUCAACAUCAGUUUCUUUUGUUGUAAAAAGGUCAUUGGAAGGUGGCUUUCUUUUCGGAGAAAGUGUUUAUAGCCUUUGACUCCUGCAAUCGGAGAGACUGAGGUCUGCAGCGUAGAUCCUUCGGGGUUAGAUACAUUUGUGCUAAGUUAUAGCUUUUUAUAGACAACUUGUUGACUAUGAUUAGUCUUGUAGCUUACUCGCUUAUGCUAUUUUACCUACGCUUAGGAUGUUGACGCGCGUGUGUGCGUG
rnacentral:rRNA from 1 species